ensembl:lncRNA
GUUCCGUGCCUGCAAGCUGACUGGGGAGGAUUGGCCGUUCGCUUGGGCUCGCAAGCUCUGUGACGCGGCGGUACGGUGGCUGCAGCCGGGGCAGUUGGCAAGAGAAGCCAAGCUGGUUGACAAAGUCAUACUGGAGCAGUUUGUGGAGGGGCUGCCGGUGAAGACAGCGAGAUAGGUCCGGUGCCAUAGACCAGCGACAGUCACGCUAGCAGAGGAUCACCUGGCCGCCAAAGCAGAGGAACCGGGGGGAGCCAGCCGGCCACAGAGCAAGCAAGCCCCGGGGCCGGCACCGAGGUGACGGGCUUCAGCGCCUGCACCAGGAGGACAGGCCCUGGUGUGGCCCUAAUCUGUUUUCUUCUGCCUUGCCUCCCCAGGGAUCAGAGACAUCCAGCGCUGCCCCUGAACCAUGGAGAGCGGUGUAGACGCAGGGGCAGGAGUGCUGGAAGUGCGGGCAUCCGGGACACCUGAGGAGGGAUUGUCCUCUGAUGGAAGUGGGGCAGGUGUUCUACGUUGCCGAUGCUCCAGCACCCUCCUCCGGUCCAGGAGGGACAUACAGCAUUCCGUGACGGCAGAGUCGAGCGAGAGAGAGGGCUGGACCGGAACAGACUGUUUCCCAAGAAUGCAGAACUGUCAAAUAAACACAAUACUCGUCAGCAC